ensembl:lncRNA
GGGAGCUCAGGUGCAAGCAAUGGACCUGAUUGACUGGAAGGAUCCACCCCUUCCCAGACCUCAUUGAAGAGUCGGCAGUGGAGGUGAGGGUGUCUCCUGGUGGAGAUCCCUGCCUACCUGAGGCCUUCCAAAGGUUUUCCUGAAGCAGAUUGAUGAAGAGUGGCUAUAGAUCCCAUAAGUCUCACCCUACAGCAACUGUCGUAUGGUUUCCAGUUUGUACCAAAAUUACUCCGGUAUCAAACAGGCUAAGGCCCAACACUUGCAGACCUGCCAGGUUAGCAAAUGGAAAAGCAGUUCAUGAAACCUAAAGAUGGAAAGAAAGCAAGCCAAAUGCCAUAUGGACAAACUGCCAGUUCAAAAGCUUUUGCAAGUUUUGGUGUCCUUUAGAAUGUCUGGGUUGACUGAAUUUUCCUCUUGAUCAAAUACUGUGUCAGACAUCUACAAGGUCAAGCCUUGGGAACACUUCUCAAGUUAGAGAGGAUGUUUUUGACCUUAAUUCAUUUCUUUGUUUUAGUGUAAUGAGUCCAGUGAUUACCAGAAUUACAUAAGAUAUGCUCUGCUAUUGCAUUUUUUAAUACAGUACCCCCAAGGGAAACUAGGAAAAGGUAAAUAACAUCAGAGAUGUGAUGCAAGGAAAACAGAAGUCUACAAGAGCAGAAGCAUGGCGACUUACGUAGCUCGAUAGGAAAAGCUACUUCUGGGCACCCUUCCAAAAGACAGUAUUAAUUAGCAAGUACAUCUAGGUCCUGAUUUCACAGUCCUCCAGUAGUCUUCAGAGUGGCAAGAAAUUGCAGCAGCCUUGGCAGCUAUUACGAAAGAUUCCCAUUUCACUAAGAAGGCUGUCUGUCAUCCUUCCCAGCUGAAAGGAAUAAUAAAGUAAAGGAACUUUCUUUUCCUGUCUUAUUUCAUUAGUUUUGGCUCACAGAGAUCACCCCCACAAGAUUUCAGCAUGCACUGCACAGUGGCUGCAUGAACUCUCCAGCCAGUUUAGAAUAAUACAUAUUUGGCAGAGUUCAUACCAGACAGCGUUGCAUAUAUCAUGGUUUCUGUAUUAAUAGUAAUUUACUAAUAAACUAAUAGUAGUUUAGUCUAACUAGUCAUUUUCUCUCUUUUUUACCUUAUUAGACAGAUCAAAUACAAUGUAUCUCAAAAAUACGCUGUUCCAUUGUUGGUUCUUUGCAAAUAUGUCUCUAUUUCAAUGGGGUUACAGACCACAUAAAAUUUUCAUAUAACUGAAAUGAGCUGUGUAGGGUAAAAGUAAAUGCCAGCAGGCAUCUAAAUAUUGUAGCAUCUGUUAUAUUUUACACUCUGUGAUCACAAAUCUUAUAAAGCUUCACUGCAUUUUAGCAGUAUUCUUCACAAACUAUUGAAGAUUGAUGGCUAGUGUAAUUGCCAUAUCUGAUAUGCUAUCAUUUUUAAUAUACUGAACUUCUCCAACAGCCCCUUUCUUUGUACUGUCAACCUAUGUCUAUAUUAUGUUCCCAUAAAGCACAUAUUG